rnacentral:rRNA from 1 species
UUGAACGCUGGCGGCAUGCCUAACACAUGCAAGUCGAACGGGCUGUAGCAAUACAGCUAGUGGCGGACGGGUGAGGAAUACAUAGGAAUUUGCCUUUAGGUGGGGGAUAGUCCGGGGAAACUCGGUUUAAUACCGCAUGAUCUCGCAAGAGCAAAGCAGGGGAUCGUAAGACCUUGCGCCUUUAGAGAAGCCUAUGUCGGAUUAGCUAGUUGGUAGGGUAAUGGCCUACCAAGGCGACGAUCCGUAACUGGUCUGAGAGGACGAUCAGUCACACCGGAACUGAGACACGGUCCGGACUCCUACGGGAGGCAGCAGUGGGGAAUAUUGGACAAUGGGCGAAAGCCUGAUCCAGCAAUGCCGCGUGUGUGAAGAAGGCCUUCGGGUUGUAAAGCACUUUAGGCUGGGAAGAAAAAUUUACACCUAAUACGUGAAGUCUUGACGGUACCAGUGGAAUAAGCACCGGCUAACUCU